rnacentral:rRNA from 1 species
AACUAACGCUGGCGGCGCGUCUUAAGCAUGCAAGUCGGACGGGAACUUUGAGCCGCAAGGCUUGAGGUGAGAGUGGCGAACGGGUGAGUAACACGUAGGUGAUCUGCCUUUGGGUGGGGAAUAGCCCAUGGAAACAUGGGGUAAUACCGCAUGAAGUCUUGAGCUUUUGAGCUCUUGAUGAAAGGAGCAAUUGCUUCGCCUGGGGAUGAGCCUGCGGUCCAUUAGCUAGUUGGUGAGGUAAGGGCCCACCAAGGCGACGAUGGAUAGCCGGCCUGAGAGGGUGAACGGCCACACUGGAACUGAGACACGGUCCAGACUCCUACGGGAGGCAG